ensembl:lncRNA
CGAGGUUUCCACACGUCGCUUCUAAACCUGUUCCGCCAGGUCGCCAGCAGGGGGCGCGUUACUCUCCCUCGCAGGAGGGGUUGUCCUCUCUGCAAUCAGCAUCGGACAGCAGCCGAGCCGCUCUUCGUCUUUAAAAGCUGCUGGAAACACACGCACGCACUCACCUGCUGCUGAUAACCGAGCUACGAUGUUCUGCAGGCGGGCGUUCCAGAGAGUCGGGCCGCUGGCGCGGAGGGCGUUCAGGCCAACGUCCAGGAAUGCAGCUCCAGUGCGACACAUGGCCUUCGGGGUCCCUGGUGGCUCCUCCAACAUGGCGUACAUUGUCCUGUGUGGCGGAGGCGUCACUGCCGCAGUCGUCUAUGCCUACAAGACGGUCGGCGGCAACGGUGAGCGCCAUGAGGACCGACUCGCCACCAUGGCCGUCAUAGAAAAGGCACCGGAAGUUGCCGCUCCUGCAGCUGAACCCGCCGCAUUGGAGGAGGCAGCGCCGACCCCCGAGGUCCUGGCUGAGGUUGUUGAGGAGUCUGGCCCUGCUCCUGCCGAACCAGUAGCCGAGGCUGCUGCUGAACCCGACGUGCUUGCAGAGUCCAUCCCUGCAGAACCAGUAGCAGAGACCGCUCCCGAACCUGCCGUCGAGGCGGUGUCUGAAGAAGAAGCUGCAGCCGAGGUGGUCGUUGCAGAGCCGGCACCGACAGAAGAAGCCGCUCCAGCUGCCGUGGAAGAUGAGUCUGCUGCCACCGUGGAGGUUGCUGCCACCGAGGAGACGCCGGCAGAGGCCCCUGCAGCAGAAGCCCACUUGGCAGAAAGUGCUGAGUCCUUGCCUGAUCUGCUCACAGCAGUGAAAGUCUUGGCUGGCCCUCCGAUUGAGAUAGCGGCAGCUUCUGUUGAGAACAGUCUGGUGGAAGGUUUGGACUUUCCACUGAAGGUGGUCGAACCAGAAGCUGUGGAAGCGACCACAGAGGAGGUAGCCAAAGAAGCUCAAGAGGUGACCAUGGUGAACGAGGAGGAGUCGAAGCCUGCAGAUGCUGAACAGCUGGUUGAAGAAGGGACAGCUGCCAGUGUAGAGGCAGCGCUGGAGGAGGAGGUGGCUGCGUCUCUGUCUGAGGAAGCUACAACUUCAGUCCUGGCUGUGGAGGAGGAGGAGGGGGAGAAGGAGGAGGAGGUCCAGUCUGAAGACCAGACUGCAGACUCUGCAGCUGUCCGGGAGGAAGCCGCCGCCUCUUCUGAUACCCCACCUGAAGAUGCUGCUCCUGCUGAGGAGGCCACCACUGCUGCUGAAGCUGCUCCUCUGGAUGACACGCCGCCCGAUGCGGAGACAUGGGUGGAUGACGUAGCAGCCGAAGCUUUGGCAGCAACGCAUAGUGAAGCUGCAGCAGUCGUAGAUGCGAGUCAGCUGGCAGCAGCCUCCUCCGGGUCAGACCUGGAGGUGCUCUCAGCUGCUGGACCAGGAGCUACGUCAGAAGCUCCAGGGCAAGAGUCCAAGCGCUGCCACUCUUGCCACUCUGCUCCAUCAAUAGCCGUCGAAGUGGCGCCACCUGCUGCUUUGGGAGUGCAGCCGUCCGGUGAGGAAGAUGUGGAUGUUGCAGAGGAGGUCAAGGAGGCAGAGUCCCUGGUUGAAGGACAAAAGCCAAAGGUGUCCAACUGGACAGUAAAAAGCUGCUCAGUGAUGUAAUAGUACAGUUAAGAAGCGGCACAGACAUUGGCGGUGGCAACGACCCAGUCGUGAUGGACAGUGUGCCUUCUACAACACUCGCUUAUCCGUCAACGGGGCCCGGAUGGCCGAUGAAAGCGGCACGGGGAGAACCAGCUACUGGUCUAAUUAGUGAAUGUGUCCUUUCAAAUGUUUUCAAGGGGGUUUAUUGUGUUUCUUCUGAUCUUUAGUAGCCUUUGUGAAACUAUUCCCAUAAUGUCUCUUGUCCUCUAGAUGUCACUGUAGCAUGACAAGUUGAGAGCACACAGGGUUCUUUGUAGUUGUUUCUAAGUGUUGGAAGGGUUUUGUUCUUUAUGUAAUGUUGUGACAGACUGAUGUCAAUAUUCAGCUCAACAAUAACUAGCAACUAAGACUGCACCAGAUAUUGUAUUUGGGGAAAUAGUUUAAAUAGGUGCAGACAUGAGAAUGUUUAGUGGUUUAAGACCAUCUCACCUUUAUUGUGUUGCUUUCAUAAAGGAAAACGUUACAUAUUAGAUAUUUGCUUUUUAAAGCUAGACUACAACUGGCAUCAUUAAUGUGUGUAUAUAUAAUGUGAUGUGAAUGAUUUUCUUCUUAUUCUAGACUAAUUUUCCUUCGACAACAAAGGAUAGAAACAUAAUGUCCAGGGUCAACAUGAACAUUCAAUCCAAAGAGGGUUGCAGAUAUAUCAUAAUAUAUUGUCAUCAUUGAACUAUGUAUCAUAUGAACUAGUUAACAUACCUCUUUGUAUUUAGUCAAAUACAAUAUCUUUCUUGUCAUGAAAGUGCGCUCACAUAGACAAUAAAGUGAUGGACAAACAAUUCAAAGUUCGGCUGUUUAUAAAGGUAUGUUUAAUAAACAUGGUCUUGCACUGUGCUGUAGUAGAUGUCAGUGGACCUUUUGAUGGAUCGAUAUAGAUAUUAGCUUUUCAUGUUUUAGGAAUACCAUCAAUUAAUUGGAAUACCAAUUUAGUGACCAUCUUCGUUGUCCUGAAACGGCCCAUUGAUGAGCUUUUAAAACCAACGGAUCAGGACCAGAUUUAUGUUUAUGUUCUUUGUUUUUAUUCCUCAAAUAAAAAAAUAAAAAACUUAACAAAUACACCAAUAAAACCGAACUGAUGGAGUCUAA